UUAUGUUUUUAAAGGCAGUGCUUUAAGGCCUGACUUUUAAGUCAUGAGGUUCAUCUUUUCAUACGCAAUCCAUGCUGGGGGUCUUUUGGCCAGAAAUAGAUCCGGAAAUGUUCGAAUUUCUCCUCUUCUUUUUAUGGUAUGAUAUGGUUUUUGUUUCUUUCAUUUACAUUGGGGACUAAAGAAACGAUCAGUGUGUAUUGUUCGUUUUAUAGAACUUGUUAUAAGUGUGUAUUUUGCAUUAUAAGCAGUCAACCUGACUACAAACUAUCAAUAGUUGUAUAUUCCGUGUGGAAAGAGGUCGGGUCAAUUUCAAGUGUUAUCUGACAUCUAAAGAUUCUUUAAUUAGUUCAGACGUUGAUAUAACAAUGAAAAGUCGACUGAACAUGAUUAAUAUUGCAUCUUCUAUAAUUCAAAGCGGAAUUCGGUUUAUGAACGAGAAACCGUAAAGCGUUUUCAAUUUCGGUAUUAGUUAUGUAUGUUAUCUACGUAUUAUCCUGGUUCCCGGUACUACGUUCCGGGUAUUAGCUAUUUGAUAUAUUUGAUGUGUAACAUUACAAUCGGGUACCAGCCAAUCUACGUGUGUAUGUGUACAUGAUUUACCGCCAAAAUGACCGACUUAAAAAAUAGUCCAUAAACGUUCCGUAUAAUGAUAUGCAAAUUCAUAAUUAAUCGUAACUUUUUUUUAUCUUUGUAUAAUUAAUAUAACAAAAUGGAUUCCACAAAAUUGAAAAUAGCAUUAUUUUACGAGGAUUUCUCAUAUUUUUUUCACUUCCGGCGCAGUAAUACGUAUGUUUUGAAGAAGCUCGAAGAAUUUGACAAAGUGAAUUGAGAAGGAAACGGAUAUAUAUACGUUCUUGCUAUCAGGGCACAAACCCACUUUAAAGAGACUUGUCUACUGCCAUACCCAUCCUAUUUUCAUGCACCAUUUGCAAGCAAGAGACUGAAUGGUUUGCAAAAUUAAAAAUCAGGACGGUGUCCAAUUAAAACAAAAGAACUAAACUGGAUGAAUAUUUUAGGAGAUAUCUAGACAUGCUAGAGGAAAGUUUUGAUUUGUGAAAUUGGUUUUCCUGAAAAGUCAUUCAUCCUAGCCUGCAGAAAGGAACUAUAACUGUCCACCACCAACUGACGAGCUAAUGUUGAGCUUCACAUAUGGAAUUACUCAAAUACCAUCAAUGUCUAUGUUUUCAGCACAAAUUUCACAAUUUAUGACACAGCUGUGCUUUUUUUUAUACCGUUAAAGAGUUGUAUACCAAAUUUUAUUUUUUUAUCAAUAAAUAUAUAUUAUAUUAA